rnacentral:rRNA from 1 species
CCUAUGGCCGCAUCACCCUGAAUGCGCCUGCUCUCUCAUCUGAUCACAGAAGCUAAGAAUGGUCAGGCUUGGCUAGUACUCAAAUGGGAACAGUACUAGGGAACCAUGCUAAGAGGA